rnacentral:rRNA from 1 species
UACGGAGGGGGCUAGCGUUGUUCGGAAUUACUGGGCGUAAAGCGCACGUAGGCGGCUUUGCAAGUUAGAGGUGAAAGCCCGGGGCUCAACUCCGGAAUUGCCUUUAAAACUGCAUCGCUAGAAUUGUGGAGAGGUAAGUGGAAUUCCGAGUGUAGAGGUGAAAUUCGUAGAUAUUCGGAAGAACACCAGUGGCGAAGGUGACUUACUGGACACAUAUUGACGCUGAGGUGCGAAAGCGUGGGGAGCAAACAGG